AAUGGGCAGGGCAGUUUCACCCUGCUUCUUUACAGCAGCUUCCUUUAAUGAGUCUCAUCCACUGUGUCCUUGGGCAACAUUCUUAUAAAGUCUGACCUGGGAUCAACUGUAUUCAAAACUGCAUGUAUACCAGACUUGCUUUCAAGUAACAGUACUCUGCUCCAGUGACCACAAGGAAGACGGGAUGGUUCAGGCUCCAGAUGAAGUGUAGCAUUUUCUGAGAGGAAGCUCUUCAUUCAAGGGCUUUGAGGGGAGGCCUAGAGGUGUUCAAGAACUAUGUGCUGGCUCAGCAAAGGAAUCAUGCUUGUUUCUCCCUGAGGAGCUUGGGCAGAGAGAGGAUCAGUUACUUAACUACUGAGAACCCUCCAGAGUGGGACCUAUAAGGAACAGAUGCAUUAGAAGAAACUACUGGUGUUCAGAUUGAAAGUGGUAAAGGAUGGUCAACCUCAUGAG
rnacentral:lncRNA from 1 species